AGAGUUUGAUCCUGGCUCAGAUUGAACGCUGGCGGCAUGCUUUACACAUGCAAGUCGAACGGCAGCGCGGGGCAACCUGGCGGCGAGUGGCGAACGGGUGAGUAAUAUAUCGGAACGUACCCAAGAGUGGGGGAUAACGUAGCGAAAGUUACGCUAAUACCGCAUACGACCUAAGGAUGAAAGCAGGGGACCGCAAGGCCUUGUGCUCCUGGAGCGGCCGAUAUCUGAUUAGCUAGUUGGUAGGGUAAAGGCCUACCAAGGCUACGAUCAGUAGCUGGUCUGAGAGGACGACCAGCCACACUGGAACUGAGACACGGUCCAGACUCCUACGGGAGGCAGCAGUGGGGAAUUUUGGACAAUGGGCGCAAGCCUGAUCCAGCAAUGCCGCGUGAGUGAAGAAGGCCUUCGGGUUGUAAAGCUCUUUUGUCAGGGAAGAAACGGUGGGGGCUAAUAUCCUCCACUAAUGACGGUACCUGAAGAAUAAGCACCGGCUAACUACGUGCCAGCAGCCGCGGUAAUACGUAGGGUGCAAGCGUUAAUCGGAAUUACUGGGCGUAAAGCGUGCGCAGGCGGUUUUGUAAGUCUGAUGUGAAAUCCCCGGGCUCAACCUGGGAAUUGCAUUGGAGACUGCAAGGCUAGAAUCUGGCAGAGGGGGGUAGAAUUCCACGUGUAGCAGUGAAAUGCGUAGAGAUGUGGAGGAACACCGAUGGCGAAGGCAGCCCCCCUGGGUCAAGAUUGACGCUCAUGCACGAAAGCGUGGGGAGCAAACAGGAUUAGAUACCCUGGUAGUCCACGCCCUA
rnacentral:rRNA from 1 species